GGGAGCCACUGGAUCUGCCGGUGCCAGAGGUUUCCCAGGACUGCCAGGUCACCCUGGACUGAAGGGCCUUAAGGGUCAUACAGGUCUUCUAGGAGCGAGAGGUCAAUCUGGUGCUGCUGGGUCAAAGGGCCCAUCAGGUACUCCUGGUGGAAUGGGG